rnacentral:snoRNA from 1 species
AUUUCGUGAUGAGGGUAUCUUCGUAAUAGUUCUUUAAACCUUUCCCAUGCCUCAUACAAUGACUCGUCAUCUAUUUUUUGAAAGGUAGUGAUCUCAUUCCACAACU